CGUCGUCACUGUCAUCACCAGCAUUAUUGCUGAUGUCACGAUCUCUUUAAUAUUGAGAAUUCUGGUGAUGUGAGGAUUCUGAUUCAUCUGUGCUGUGAUGUUCCGCUGUCUAAAGUCUAACCCCGAGCUCUACGGCUCUCUAGCUGUGUGACCUUGGCAACAUGAUGAAAAUCCAACUUUUCAAAGAUCUGACUCCGGCUAAAGGAAUGUAGGGCUAAUGCCAGUGACAAAAUGGACUGGCCAACAACAAGAGAGCAAGGGCAAGAACAAGCAGGCACACGGUGAGCUUCCUUCUUCCGUGUCCUCUAUGCCAGCAGAAGGCGUGGCCCGGAUUAAAGGUGGAUCUUCUCACCUCAAAGAUUUGGAUUAAAGGUCGUGUCACUGCUGUUGCUAACUUGACUCUACUAAACUGCACUGCUGGUGUAUCCAUGAGGUGUCUGCGAGUGGACUGAGCUGCCACUGCCUGCUGACCUGUGAACUGAUCUGCUGAUUUCCAGACAACACAGAUGGGAGUUGCUCCAAAGAACCUUUCUAAACAGUAAUGGAUGUCAGAUGCCUAACGUGUGCCGGAAAAGCUGUCAAGUUGGACGAGGAGGCGGAAAAGUAAUCGAGACCUGUAGUGCUUUUUGACUUACAAUGUAUUACACUGAUCAAACACUUAAAAAUAAUGAUGAAAAUAA